rnacentral:tRNA from 1 species
UGUAGCUCAGUGGUAGAGCAUCUGCCUGGCAUGCAUGAGGCCCUGAGUUCAAUCCCAGCA